UUCUUCCUAACAUCUUUAAAGAAUAAGGGAUGGGAUGGGUCUUAUACUCUAGUAGCCAGCUGCCAGUAGCAUAUCCCUAGUUUCAUCAUAGUCUCCAAGAGAAUAAGUAUCCAGAGAACUAUAGUAGACUCUGGGGGUGCGAGUUAAGUCUUCGAGAUCAUCAGCGGAAUCCAGAGAAUCCACUUAGAAGGUAAGGAAGCCGGGUACUAUUAGGAGUUCAUACAUAUGAGCUGUUACUUGGCUAAUAGCUUGUCGGCUUGGCUGAGUUCAAUCUAUUAUUGGAAUGAUUUGACUUCUUACUCGGUAUCAGGGAAGGGAGUGGAAAUGACAACUAUAACAUACCCGUAAUGUUGAAAUGCAGAAUUGUUGACAGCAGCCAGAGGUAUACUAUACCCAUUCUUAGGUCUAAUACAACUACUAAGCGGUCUUCUCCCCUAAGUUCAUGAGUUGUCUUAGAGCGGUGCGAGGGUGCUGUAGAGGUCGGGGCGGAGUCAAGUCUUCAUGGCGGCAGUGAGCCAUCGCUUCAACCUAAAAAGAAGGGGGGAAAGCCUAAAACUAACAAAAAGGGGGCCUAAACAUCUGCCAUUAGCAAGAGAGUAAUAAGUGUCCUAUUACUUACAAUCUAUACUAACCUCUGACUUAUACCUUCGCAUUCAAAAGGUGACCAAGACUUACCGGUUGCAACUGACUUUUGAAUAGCUUAUUCGGGAGCUAACACUGCGGAAGAUCUUUCCACUGGUUCUUAUUAUCCUACUGCUCUAACAGCUUACUUUCGCCCGAGAUACCCGCGAUCGGCAGGCUUUUAGCACCUCUAUCCUCUGCCAUGGGUAAUGCAUUCUUCCUUCCACUUGCUUGAUACCCUCGUUCGCCAACAAAUAUAUAUUCUGAUUUAAGGGAGUAGUAACACCUACUUCUAUUGAACUAAUUGAACGAAAGGGCAGGACUACCCGGACAAAUACUAUAAGCAUAAGGGAGCGGGGGAGAAAAAUACUAUAAUCAUAAGGGAGCGGGGGAGAGUUUACAGUGGAGGUCUGUUAUUCAAGUUACGCCCUGUACUUAUUACCUCUUUCGAAGGAAGGAGAUUCUUGGAAAGCCUACCCGACAACCCAACCGAAAGGAAAGUAACUAGGCAAGCAUAUACUAAUGGCCAAGACACUACUGAGGCUCUUAGCACCUUUCCUUCCCCGUUCUGAAUGAGUUUUCUCGAAGUUCGAGUCAUAUCAAAAAGAAGCAGUGCCCAGUUAUUACGAUAGGACUCGUUGGUGACUGCUUGCUCUCUUUUAUCAGUGACUUGACAACUUCAAACUAUUCCUUUCUUUCCCUUCCCUAUCCGAUAAGUUACCGGAACGCUGGUCUCCAAGACACCCAACGACUAUUAAUCAGGCUCUUUCGUAUGUGAAUAGAGUGUGGUCUUUUCCACUCCAUCAUGACUUUAUGGUUUGACUGUUUUCCUUGACCAGCAAUAAGAGCACGAAGUUGAACCCCUAUCUAUUGCGAGAGAGACUGAUGCUACUCAUGAUGAUCUCCGCAGCUUUGUCUCUUUCUCUCAAUUAAGAACUGGGUUUGGUUAGUGACCUUAGCUGGCUCAGGCUUCUUUACUUGAUGAUCUGACCUAAACACCUUACUUUAUCACUGGAAUAUCGGAUUGAGAGUCACCAACUAAUACUGAUGAAACCAGACCAAUACUUGUAAACUUCAGACUAAACUAGAGAUUCCACUCGCCCCAAAAGAAAGACAGAAAGAUAUUCUAGAUGCGCUGGCCCAUGUAUUAUGGCUCUGGACUACUGAAUUAAGGAGCAGCUAAGGGUACGAGUGAGGGUCAUCUAACUCAAAGUUGAGAGGCCCUUAUUGUAAGUUGCAGACUAUCGGGCAGAAAGAUAAGACUUUGUUUCAAUAGCCAGAGAGGGCAGGGAAGAAGAAAGGGGAGUUUCAUCCGCUAUCUUUCUUAUAUACUGGAUUUUCAACAAGGGAUGUCGCCUAUAGCCUAUAGAGCACCCAGACAAGAGUGAAAAGAGCAAG
rnacentral:lncRNA from 1 species